AACGAACGCUGGCGGCAUGCCUAACACAUGCAAGUCGAACGAGACCUUCGGGUCUAGUGGCGCACGGGUGCGUAACGCGUGGGAACCUGCCCUUAGGUUCGGAAUAACUCCCCGAAAGGGGUGCUAAUACCGGAUAAUGUCUUCGGACCAAAGAUUUAUCGCCUUUGGAUGUGCCCGCGUUUGAUUGGCUAGUUGGUAGGGUAAAAGCCUACCAAGGCGACGAUCCAUAGCUGGUCUGAGAGGAUGAUCAGCCACACUGGGACUGAGACACGGCCCAGACUCCUACGGGAGGCAGCAAUGGGGAAUAGUGGACAAUGGGCGAAAGGCUGAUCCAGCAAUGCCGCGUGAGUGAUGAAGGCCUUAGGGUUGUAAAGCUCUUUUACCCGGGAUGAUAAUGACAGUACCGGGAGAAUAAGCUCCGGCUAACUCCGUG
rnacentral:rRNA from 1 species